CUCUUCCCUUACUUUCUUCAACCUUUUCCACGAUCUCAUUUCGUAUGCAUUAUUUUCUCAUCUUUUCCCCACACACGACACGUAAUCGACGAAUGACGAUUUUCCUCGCAUCUUGGCAACAAAGGCGAUUAGAUUCCUCCAUGGCGAUUAGAUUCUUUUCAAGUUUUGAUUUCUGCAUGUUGUGUUGUCUGCAAUUUAACUUACAUGAUGAGAAAAAUCUCCUUUCGUGGUUUCGUGGCUAAGCAAUCAAUGUUAGUUAUCAUUCAAAAUUUGAAAGAUUGUGGCGAGGUUUUAUUCUAUCUUUUCGAUUUUGAAUUUGUUCUAUUUGUUUUGGUCACUUUCUUUAUCUUUAUCCCUUACCAAGAAGUAGAGCGUGGCGUGAGAAAUGUUGUCUCUAAUUUGUGUUGAGAGUUCCAAUUGGAAGUAUUGUGUUAUGAAAUCUGAAAUGGUAUUGUGUUAUGAAAUCGGAAAUCGUUGAUUUAGUUUGUUGUGUUUGUUUUUAAAGAUUUGUGUUUAUUAGGGGCUAUUUAAAGUCAAUUGCUGAUUUAGUCUUGUUUUAUUUCAUUGUCAAGAUUUUUGAUCAUUGGAAAAGCUUACUUCUACUUUUAAUAUCUAGAAAGUAUAUGGUGGUUUAAAACAAUUUAUUUUAUGUGAGUGCUUGCUUGUUUGGUUUUGAGGAACCAUAGGAAGUAGAAGCUACUGUCCAUACAAAUGAUUUCCUUGCCCGUUAUUAGAAUGAUGUUUUUCUUACUUGUAAAUUUGGUUGCUUUGGUUUGUUUUUUUUUUUAAUAGGAAAAUUCACCUUUCGUCGUUAAAUUAGUUGCAUAUUUCUAGUUCUAUUGAAGUGUCUCUUUUCAAACAUUAGUCGUUUGGGUGUACAUAUUUCGAUUGCUCGCUUGUUGAACUUCUUUAUUCAGAUGGAAAUGGGAAAGAAUGUAGAGAUUCAAGGAACGGGGCAUGGGCAUGGGAGUCAUGAUGGGGUUUUUUCAAUUUGCUGAUAGCUCUUUAAGAAACUGCGUUAGAGAUUGUGAGCAUGCAUAUUGGUUUUUUUUCUAAUUGAUUAAGAUGAAUUAAUCAUAAUAAACUAAUAUGCAUACUCACAAUCCCUCGAUAAGACACAGUUUUUUGAAGGGAUAUUUUAUUUAAAAGUGAACAAUGAUGGAGGCAUUAGCCUAAUGACAAUUUAGGCAAGAUGCAUAUGCGACCAACAAACGAUAGUAUUGUCGAAAUCUAUGUCAGCGGCAGUGGCGAUGAGAGUUCUUUAAGAGAUGACAUGAUAGUUCGAGCGAAGAAAUUUGACACUCUACAAGUUAGUGAUUAUGUCCAGUCUUAUUUAGUUUAUUAAUUAUUAAUUGUUGAGGUUAAAAUGCUUGCUUGGUGAUACUGUAGUAGAACUCUGAUAAACAUAGAUGUUAGUUUUGUUAGUGUGUUUUGAAUAAGUGAGGUAAAGUUUGAUGAUGAUGUUGUAGUACUUGUGGAUAAGGAAGGCUAACCCAUUGGAAUGUGAGUCUUUGACUUAAUUCCUCACGAACUCAUGACGAAAAAACAUGUAAAGAUUGUCCUAUCCAUCCUUUUUAGCCCCACCCCUCGUGUAUUGAAUACUUUAUUUUGUAAUGUAAAUAGAUUAUAAAAUUUUAAUUAUGAAUGGAAGUCAUAUUAUUUAAUGUGUUUUGAAGUAUUCCAUAUGUUCAUUUAGUUAAAUUGAAUUAAAUUUAUUUUAUAACAUACUAUAGCUUUAAUAAAAAUGCUAUAAAAUGUUUUCAUAGCAACAUAUAUGAAUAUUAUAUCCAUCCAUUAUAGCUAUACAAAAAAGUUAUAAAAAAAGUCUAUAAGACAUUUAAUAGUGUUGGUUAUUAGGAUGUACGACAAAAGCUAUCAAAGGUCUAUGAUAGUUGUUCACCUGCUAUUGUAUCCAAUAUUUGUUGUAGUGAUUUUUUAGACUCAAGAAAGUUGGCACUACCUAUGAACAUUAUGAUAGCAUUUAUUUAGACCCGAGAGCCAUUAGCUGACCUGCCUCAGACGUGCUGAUCAUGGGAGAUACGUUGAACUCACAUCAUGGGAGAUACGUUGAACUCACAUCAUGGGAGAUAUGUUCACAAAUCAAACUUGACACGUGGCAUGCUGAGAUCCUGCCUAUCCACCCUCAAAGCAUUGAUUACUCAUGCAUGGCCUGCGCGCGUAGGGAAUCUUCUUUUGCGUGACCUACCAGAGGAAUUUUAGAAAUUUUGGAGCUCCUGACUCACGAAAAAGCUAGCUUGGGAGGGCACGCUUCAUCCAAGUAAGUUACCACACGGAUUUUAGGCAAGUAAUUAGCAAUCGCUAGAAUGUGCUAUCAUGCUAACAUUCCUUACCUUAGGUGGUUAGAAAAUGCAUAUUAAGGACUUUGAAAGGGCGUUUUGGAUGAGUAUGUAUUGUACGUAUGUCAUGGUAAAAUUACAAUUAUACCCUUAGGUUGAGAUUUCCAAGAAGCAUGCUAUUUUAUGUAUUAUACAAGGCUAAAAAGAAAAUAUGCAUGAUUAAAAUACGAGUUGGGCAGUAUGGAUGAGUGUGGUAUGCAUGAUGUAAGAAAUUACAAAAAUACCUCUAUGAUGAGAUUUGUGAUGAACGUCGUUUUAUAUGCUUUCCAUUGUGUUAGAAAAAAGGAUGAGCUAUUGUGACCUGUGCUCCGGGUGAUUGAUGGAUGUUAUCUUCCUGUAGAGCUUGUUUGCUUCUAUGUUUGCAUGAUAUAGUACGUGUUAGCUCCUGGUGUGAUUGUAUGUUCUCCCUGUAAAGCAUGUUUAUUUGCAUAGAACUAGGGCAUUAGAGUUAGGUGGACUAGACGAUAACUUAGGUCAGAACACUAAAAGUAGACUGAGCACUUUAGAAUCAUACACAACGGUCAGAGGGUCUAGACCCUAGUGCUCCUAGACUAAGAAUGACUUGAGGAGUAAAAAAAGAGCAGCUUGGAGUCAUAAAAUCAUGUUAAGCCACCUAGCCGGUUUAGGAAUCCAAUAGACCUCCUCGAUUCCCCAUAUAUGACUAAGGUGAAGUUUAAAUUGUGGAUUACACGCUUAGAUGAUCGAUAGGAAUAUCUCCCUAGUAAAGCAUGCACGAGAGAGCUCAAUUAAGAUUAGUGCACUACAACUAGUGUCUUUUACAUGUUUGACCCAGGUCAGUAUGUUUCUUGUUGACCUUGCACGCCAUGAUCGUGAAUGAUUAGAGGUUUAAACCUAUAUGCACCCAGAGAUUGGUUUGGCCAUAGGAGCUAAGCCUAAAGUCUUGGAAACGAGAGAUGAGAUUUAAACCGCCUAGACGCCUCUAGAGACCUAGAAGGCCACCACAACAACCUUGGAGAAAAAUAAAGGUAGCCCAUGAGCCGAUAGCAGCCAGUACAGUGUUUGCAGAUUCCACUCCAGUAUGGUACGUUUAGCUUGGCGUGAGGCCGGUUAGGAACGUGUGACCUAAGAGAGAGUUUGGGUGGAUUACCCUGUGCGGUGGAUUUGCAUCAUCCGCACGAGGAUGUGCAAUGAGCAGGUGUCCAUGGUCACGGUUCGGUAGAGCUACCAUCGAGUCAAUGUAACAACUUGAGCAAGAGAAUGUCCUACCUUUGGGAAUUGGGCAUAAGCAACUUUUGAGGACGAAAGUCUUUAAGGAGGGGAGAAUUUGUAACACUUGAGUCUCGACGAGGAAUUAGAAACCCAAUCUUUUCUUUUAAAGUCGAGCUUUUAAGAUUUUAUUGAGUCUUAGAGGCCAAAUUUCAAGAUGAGAUAGAAGAGAAAAAUGCUUUGAAAAAUUCCAUAAACGGAAAAAAUAUAUAGAAGAAAAUAGUGAAAGUUAAAAAAUCGGUCGAAGUCAACCCACAUUUGGUCAUUUUGACCCUCCUUUCCGGGGUCUGCAUUAGCCUUAAUAAGACUAUAAGAACAAAGAAAAAGAAAGAAACAAAGAACAGGAAAAGCCGCAACUUUUUACAAAGAUGGAGCUAAAAUUCGACAUGGGUUAUGCUCAUUCUUCAUGCUCUCUCGUUACAACUUUCUCCACCAAACAUUUCUGCUUUUCCCAAUCUUCAAUUUGCGUAUCAAAGUUACGCCCAACAAGUCAGAAUCAAAUCAGAUCUAUCAAAUUCACUUCUCACCCUUUUCAUUGUUGUUGUUCCUCUUCACAACAUUUGCCUUUAAGGUGUAAUCAAGUAGGUAAAUUCGAAACCCAAGUGAAGUCUUUGAAAACCAUGGUGGA